rnacentral:rRNA from 1 species
UACGUAGGGUGCGAGCGUUGUCCGGAAUUAUUGGGCGUAAAGGGCUCGUAGGCGGUUUGUCGCGUCGGGAGUGAAAUCCACUGGCUUAACUGGUGGCUUGCUUUCGAUACGGGCAGACUGGAGGUAUGCAGGGGAGAACGGAAUUCCUGGUGUAGCGGUGAAACGCGCAGAUAUCAGGAGGAACACCGGUGGCGAAGGCGGUUCUCUGGGCAUGUCCUGACGCUGAGGAGCGAAAGUGUGGGGAGCGAACAGG